UGGCGGACGGGUGAGUAAUGUCUGGGAAACUGCCUGAUGGAGGGGGAUAACUACUGGAAACGGUAGCUAAUACCGCAUAACGUCGCAAGACCAAAGAGGGGGACCUUCGGGCCUCUUGCCAUCGGAUGUGCCCAGAUGGGAUUAGCUAGUAGGUGGGGGUAAAGGGCUCACCUAGGCGACGAUCCCUAGCUGGUCUGAGAGGAUGACCAGCCACACUGGAACUGAGACACGGUCCAGACUCCUACGGGAGGCAGCAUG
rnacentral:rRNA from 1 species